rnacentral:rRNA from 1 species
CCUACGGGGGGCAGCAGUGGGGAAUAUUGCACAAUGGGGGAAACCCUGAUGCAGCGACGCCGCGUGAGUGAAGAAGUAUUUCGGUAUGUAAAGCUCUAUCAGCAGGGAAGAAAAUGACGGUACCUGAUUAAGAAGCCCCGGCUAACUACGUGCCAGCAGCCGCGGUAAUACGUAGGGGGCAAGCGUUAUCCGGAUUUAUUGGGUUUAAAGGGUGCGCAGGCGGUCGGUUAAGUCAGCGGUCAAAGCCCGGGGCUCAACCCCGGCCCGCCGUUGAAACUGGCAGUCUCGAGUUGAAGAGAAGUAGGCGGAAUGCGCGGUGUAGCGGUGAAAUGCAUAGAUAUCGCGCAGAACUCCGAUUGCGAAGGCAGCAUGCCGGCUCCACACUGACGCUGAGGCACGAAAGCGUGGGUAUCGAACAGGAUUAGAUACCCGUGUAGUC